rnacentral:rRNA from 1 species
ACUUCGUCGGUUCCUCGGGCCGAGGCACGUACGGUGGAAUAGGGGACGGUCGGGGCCGCCCGUACCGGGUCGUGAGAGGUGAAAUUCUAGGAUCGACCCGAGACGAACCGCCGCGAAAGCAUUCGGCAAGGACGCUUUCAUUAAUCAAGAACGAAAGUCGGGGGAUCGAAGACGAUCAGAUACCGUCGUAGUCCCGACCGUAAACGAUGCCGACCGAGGGCCCGGAGGAGUUACGUACGACCCUCCGGGCCCUCCCGCGAGAAAUCAGGAGUAUUCGGGUUCCGGGGGGAGUAUGGUCGCAAGGCCGAAACUUAAAGGAAUUGACGGAAGGGCACCACCAGGAGUGGAAUCUGCGGCUUAAUUUGACCCAACGCGGGAAAACUCACCAGGUCAGGACACGGUAAGGAUUGACGGACUGAAGGCUCUUUCUCGAUUCCGUGGAAAGUGGUGCAUGG